rnacentral:rRNA from 1 species
GACGAACGCUGGCGGCGUGCUUAACACAUGCAAGUCGAACGAAGAGCGAUGGAAGCUUGCUUCUAUCAAUCUUAGUGGCGAACGGGUGAGUAACGCGUAAUCAACCUGCCCUUCAGAGGGGGACAACAGUUGGAAACGACUGCUAAUACCGCAUACGAUCUAAUCUCGGCAUCGAGGAUAGAUGAAAGGUGGCCUCUACAUGUAAGCUAUCACUGAAGGAGGGGAUUGCGUCUGAUUAGCUAGUUGGAGGGGUAACGGCCCACCAAGGCGAUGAUCAGUAGCCGGUCUGAGAGGAUGAACGGCCACAUUGGGACUGAGACACGGCCCAGACUCCUACGGGAGGCAGCAGUGGGGAAUCUUCCGCAAUGGACGAAAGUCUGACGGAGCAACGCCGCGUGAGUGAUGACGGCCUUCGGGUUGUNAAGC